UACGGGGGGGGGCAAGCGUUGUUCGGAAUUACUGGGCGUAAAGGGCGCGUAGGCGGCCUGCUAAGUCGGAUGUGAAAUCCCUCGGCUCAACCGAGGAACUGCAUCCGAUACUGGCGGGCUUGAAUCCGGGAGAGGGAUGUGGAAUUCCAGGUGUAGCGGUGAAAUGCGUAGAUAUCUGGAGGAACACCGGUGGCGAAGGCGGCAUCCUGGACCGGUAUUGACGCUGAGGCGCGAAAAGCUAGGGGAGCAAACGGG
rnacentral:rRNA from 1 species